rnacentral:lncRNA from 1 species
CGAUUUUUUUCCGUCUUAUUCUUUCUGGCUAGCUAGGGUGAGUGUGAUGACGUAGUGCUGGAACCAAAGGUCUAUGACUGACUGAAUCAUGGUCAUGGCCUUUAGGUUGAUCUAGGGUUUUUUGGUUGGAUUGAUUGAGUAUUGUAUAAUUGAAAGAUAAGGCAUUGAGGCCGAGUGUAUUAUAUUUGUUUAUUGCAUUCAUGUAGAUUACUCAAACCGGCUAUAUUUCCUAUAGACCCUAAGUAUAUGGUCAUAUGCUUGGGAGAGGGCGAGGGCGAGGGCAAUUGGGUUAAUCGGUUAUACAACGUGCUAGGCG